GAGGCAGGAGAAUUGCUUGAACCCAGGAGGUGGAGGCUGCAGUAAGCCGAGAUUAUGCCAUUGCACUCCAGCCUGGGCAAAAAGAGCGAAACUCCAUCUCAAAAAAAUAAAAAUAAAAGAUAAUAAACAAUGGCCAAAGAAUAAAACUCUUGAUACGAUCGUCACCAUUUUAAGGCUUAAGGUUUUCUUUUCCAUCACUGAGUCUCUCCCUUUCCUCUCAUUCUUCUACUUAUAAAUCUCGAUAACAAUUCUACUCACCCACUGUGACUUUGCUCCCUUCGGCUGAUUUAUCAGUUCAUCCUGAUGGCCUGAUGGGUGACAAGCAGAGGUGAGGACUUCAAAGUCCACACCAAGUAGAUCUAGUUCACUGUGGCCCUCCCUGACAGGAGGCUUGUGAAGUUGGCAGGGCUUCGGUCUAGGCUGUGCAGUAUGGGAAUCCUCAUUUGCAAUGUCUGGAGAUCUUCAUUUUUCUAACUAGUAAUAACCAUCUUGUUAUGUUUGCACUUCUUUGCAUUUCACCCCCUUUGAAUUCUGUCCUCCCAUGAAAAUUUAUUGUCCUUUUUGAUCCGUCUGUAUUCAUAGACUUGCAUUUGCUUUCCUUUUGUCUCUAACCCAUAAGACUGAUACAAAUUAUCCUAAAGUUCCUUCUUUCUGCUGUGUAUGUCAGGGCUCCUCUGCCUUUGGUGAGAGCAAAGAGAGUUUUGUCUUUACCCAGAAUAAAACUUUUUUUUUUUUUGAGAUGAAAUCUUGAUCUGUCACCUAGGCUGGAGUGCAGUGGCCCGAUCUCGGCUCAUUGCAACCUCUACCUCGCUGGUUCAAGCAAUUCCCCUGCCUCAGCCUCCCAAGUAGCUUGGAUUACAGGUGUGCACCACCACUCCUGGCUAAUUUUUUUGUAUUUUUAGUAGAGAUGGGGUUUCACCAUAUUGGCCAGAUUGGUCUCGAACUCCUGACCUCAGGCAGUCUGCCCGCCUCAGCCUCCCAAAGUGCUGUAAUUACAGGUGUGAGCCACGGCGCCUGGCCCUGGAAGAAAACUUUAAUUGCUGGGUGAAAUAUAUUUUCUACCAAAUUCCCCUCAUAAGACCUAGAAAGCCUAAUGGACAUAGCUACUUACAUGUCCUAAGCUGUUAUUUUAAGGCCAAAAUUAAAACAUUAAGGGCACAUAUAAGGUUGGCCAUUACUAACCUGAAAAAAAAGAUAAAUGAAUGUUCCAUGAUUAGGUCUUUUCAACAGUGCAUGGGCCCACACAAUACUGUUUCACAAUUAGAGGUUUGUUUGUUUUUUUUUGUUUUUUAAUAGAAAGAAAGGAAGGACAGGUGCGGUGGCUCAUGCCUGUAAUCCCAGCACUUUGGGAGGUCAAGGCGGGCGGAUCACGAGGUCAGCAGUUUGAGACCAGCCUGGCCAAUAUGGUGAAACCCCAUCUCUACUACAAAUACAAAAUUAGCUGGGCAUGGUGGCACGCUCCUGUAGUCCCAGCUACUCAGGAGGCUGAGGCAGGAGAAUCACUUGAACCUGGGAGGCGGAGGUUGCAGUGAGCCAAGAUCGAGCCACUGCACUCUAGGCUGGGCAAGAGAGACAGACUCUAUCUCAAAAAAAAAAAAAAA
rnacentral:lncRNA from 1 species